GGAGCGCCUCUGACUGACUUCCCCCAUGUGUCCGUGUGGCCACACCGUGCUACUUUCAGAGGCAGUGGGCUUUUCGCUAAGGGAUAAAAAGAAGUAAAACCUUGCCUUUAGCGCAGCUCUCCUUCACUGGGCAGAUUGCUCUCCCUCCCCACUCUCCCAGGCCCAAAUUGGAUCUCAGCGCCUGGGAGCUCCAACUUUAGCAAGUGCGAAAUCCUGUCUUCGGUUUUGGAAUUUUCAUCCGCACAGACUAUAUCAGCCACGGAUAGGAUAUGUGAGAAUACCAGCAUGUCAAGGCUGGGAAUCAUCCUUAGGCAUCACCUAGCCAGUCCUGCCUCUCAUUUUAAGGUGAUCACAGGAUCUGGUUUGCCACUGAAAGGAAUCUUGAUGCUGACCACUUCACCUCGGAGAGCAUGAACUGCUCCCAUGCCUUCAAGAGUUUUAGUGGGUAACCAGGAUGGAACUGCGGUGUUGCUUGCAGGAGAAGCUUACUACUGGUUUCUACUUCUCCAACCUCAUUGGUGGCUAUGCAGGCACUGUCUCCAGACUGUCUAUAUUCAACCCAGUAUCCAAGAAUUUCUUUACCACCAUCACAUUCAGGUUUCUCCCACUGUAGAGUGACACUAUCUUUGGAUAUUGAAAGAAUCUCAAGUUCUCCUGGUUGGCUUGGUUUAUCUGAAAUAUUUUAAAAUAAUGAAAAGGGAGUCAGCUUUACUGGUGAAAUAAAAGGACCAAACAUGGCUUGCUUCUUUAAUUUA
rnacentral:lncRNA from 10 species